GUGUCAGCCGCCGCGGUAAUACGGGGGGGGCAAGCGUUGUUCGGAAUUACUGGGCGUAAAGGGUUUGUAGGUGGCUUGCUAAGUCAGACGUGAAAUCCCUCAGCUUAACUGAGGAACUGCGUCUGAGACUGGCAAGCUUGAGUGCAGGAGAGGAACGCGGAAUUCCAGGUGUAGCGGUGAAAUGCGUAGAUAUCUGGAGGAACACCGGUGGCGAAGGCGGCGUUCUGGACUGUAACUGACACUGAUGAACGAAAGCCAGGGGAGCAAACGGGAUUAAAACCCGUGUAGUCC
rnacentral:rRNA from 1 species